CCUACGGGAGGCAGCAGUAGGGAAUUUUCCACAAUGGGCGAAAGCCUGAUGGAGCAAUACCGCGUGCAGGAUGAAGGCCUUCGGGUCGUAAACUGCUUUUAUGUGCGAAGAAUUUGACGGUAACACAUGAAUAGGGAUCGGCUAACUACGUGCCAGCAGCCGCGGUCAUACGUAGGAUCCAAGCGUUAUCCGGAAUUACUGGGCGUAAAGAGUUGCGUAGGUGGCAUUAUAAGUGGAGCGUGAAAGCGUGCGGCUCAACCGCAUUAUUGCGUUCCAAACUGUGAAGCUUGAGUAUGAGAGAGGUAGAUGGAAUUUCUAGUGUAGGAGUGAAAUCCGUAGAUAUUAGAAGGAACACCGAUGGCGUAGGCAGUCUACUGGCCCAUUACUGACACUAAGGCACGAAAGCGUGGGGAGCAAACGGGAUUAGAUACCCCGGUAGUCCACGCUGUAAACUAUGGAUGCUAGCUGUGACACACAUCGACCUGUGUCGUAGCGAAGUUAACGCGUUAAGCAUCCCGCCUGGGGAUACGGUCGCAAGAUUAAAACUCAAAGGAAUUGACGG
rnacentral:rRNA from 1 species